UGCUUUACAUUUCUAUGAGCUACAACACAAAAAACCUAAAAGGUCCUUUUCAAGUUAUGUCCAUGGGAAGACUUGCAGAAGUGUUUAUCACCCUUACUGUCCUCUUUCUUUAUACCGGCCUCCUAACUGAAGGAGCAAUGGGCACCAACGUCAUCGAACACGUCCCCAUAGAAUCACUGAAGCUCAUGGGUUUGUCACAGGAAGUUGAC